GAUGAACGCUAGCUACAGGCUUAACACAUGCAAGUCGAGGGACCGGCGCACGGGUGAGUAACACGUAUCCAACCUGCCCUUUACUCGGGGAUAGCCUUUCGCAAGAAAGAUUAAUACCCGAUGUAAAGGAUGGGGAUGCGUUCCAUUAGGUUGUUGGUGAGGUAACGGCUCACCAAGCCUUCGAUGGAUAGGGGUUCUGAGAGGAAGGGCCCCCACAUUGGAACUGAGAAACGGUACAAACUGCUACGGGAGGAAGCAGUGAGAAAUAUUGGGCAAUGGGCGUUAGCCGGAACCAGCCAAGUAGCGUGAAGGAUGAAGGCUUAUGGGUCGUAAACUUCUUUGAUAUAAGAAUAUGUAUUAUAGGAAUAAGGAUCGGCUAACUCCGUGCCAGCAGACGCGGUAAUAC
rnacentral:rRNA from 1 species